UAUAUCAAAAUUUUGUUAAGUCAAAUGAUAAGGUGUUCUUUUUUUUUAUUACCUCAAAUCAUAAUACAUGAACUACCAAUGAAAGACAAAAUACAUAAAAUAGUUACCCUUUUUUCUUGAUAAUAGAGUGAUUGAUAAAUUUGUUAUUGCACCUAUUAAUAUAUGAGUAAUAUCAUUUUACAACUUUAUCAACAAUGUAUUAUUUUCCAAGUUACAUGCACAAAUUCUAAUUUUUUUGAUUCAUUUCAAAUUGUAGCCAAUAAUGAGUCUUGUUCAGAAUCAAUCUUAAAUAGGAGAUAAUUCAUUAUCUUGAUUCAGUGGUGGUAGACAUUAGUAUGAGAUAAGAUUUGAAGAAAUUGUUUGACUUGGUUAUAUAAAUCUAUCGAACUCAAACAGAAUACACAGUUUCAAAGUCUAAGUCAAACAAUAUCAAGUGGACAUCAAUUAAGGGUUAUACAAACCUAUCGAACUCAAACAAAUACAUGGUUUGAAAGUCUAAGUCAAACAAUAUCAAGUGGGCAUCAAUUAAGGUACAUUACUAUAGUAUAUUUUAUAGGUAGUAUAAUCUUGACUCUAAUAAUUAAAUUGCUGAAUUACCUUAUGUGACCUUUAGUUUACGUUGUGGUUUCCUGCAUUAUACUGGUUAGAUGAAUAAAUUGUAUUUUUGAAUGAUUAAAGACUUAUUUUCUUAUUGCAUUGUACUGAUUAUGUGAAUAACUUGUAUUAUUGUGAAAUUGGUUGGAGGAGUAUACGGUUGUAAUAAAAACAUGACUUACUAUUAAGAGUUUAAACUUGUAUAUGAUAUAUAUAUAUAUAUAUAUAUAUAUAUAUAUAUAUAUAUANUAUAUAUAUAUAUAUAUAUAUAUAUAUAUAUAUAU